GACGAACGCUGGCGGCGUGCUUAACACAUGCAAGUCGAACGGAAAGGCCCUGCUUUUGUGGGGUGCUCGAGUGGCGAACGGGUGAGUAACACGUGAGUAACCUGCCCUUGACUUUGGGAUAACUUCAGGAAACUGGGGCUAAUACCGGAUAGGAGCUCCUGCUGCAUGGUGGGGGUUGGAAAGUUUCGGCGGUUGGGGAUGGACUCGCGGCUUAUCAGCUUGUUGGUGGGGUAGUGGCUUACCAAGGCUUUGACGGGUAGCCGGCCUGAGAGGGUGACCGGCCACAUUGGGAAUGAGAUACGGCCCAGACUCCUACGGGAGGCAGCAGUGGGGAAUAUUGCAAAAUGGGCGGAAGCCUGAUGCAGCAACGCCGCGUGCGGGAUGACGGCCUUCGGGUUGUAAACCGCUUUCGCCUGUGACGAAGCGUGAGUGACGGUAAUGGGUAAAGAAGCACCGGCUAACAACGUG
rnacentral:rRNA from 1 species